GAUGAAUGAUGGAGGAGGGAAGAAUACAGGCAAGUCGAGCGAACAGAUGAGGAGCUUGCUCCUCUGACGUUAGCGGCGGACGGGUGAGUAACACGGGGAUAACCUACCUAUAAGACUGGGAUAACUUCGGGAAACCGGAGCUAAUACCGGAUAAUAUAUUGAACCGCAUGGUUCAAUAGUGAAAGACGGUUUUGCUGUCACUUAUAGAUGGAUCCGCGCCGCAUUAGCUAGUUGGUAAGGUAACGGCUUACCAAGGCAACGAUGCGUAGCCGACCUGAGAGGGUGAUCGGCCACACUGGAACUGAGACACGGUCCAGACUCCUACGGGAGGCAGCAGUAGGGAAUCUUCCGCAAAGGGCGAAAGCCUGACGGAGCAACGCCGCGUGAGUGAUGAAGGUCUUCGGAUCGCAAAACUCUGUUAUUAGGGAAGAACAAAUGUGUAAGUAACUAUGCACGUCUUGACGGUACCUAAUCAGAAAGCCACGGCUAACUACGUG
rnacentral:rRNA from 1 species